GUGGGAGUAGUCAAGUGGUUAAGACAACGGAUUGUGGCUCCGUCAUGCGUGGGUUCGAAUCCCACCUUUCACCCCA
rnacentral:tRNA from 1 species